rnacentral:rRNA from 1 species
AGUACCGUGAGGGAAUGGUGAAAAGUACCCCGGGAGGGGAGUGAAAUAGUUCCUGAAACCGUGCGCUUACAAUCCGUCAGAGCACCUCGUGUGUGUGAUGGCGUGCCUUUUGAAGAAUGAGCCUGCGAGUCAGCGGCAUGUCGCGAGGUUAACCCGUUGUGUGGGGUAGCCGUAGCGAAAGCGAAUCCUAAUAAGGGUGUGUUAGUGGCAUGUCCUGGACCCGAAGCGGGGUGAUCUACCCAUGGCCAGUGUGAAGCAGCUGUAAGAGGUUGUGGAGGCGCGAACCCACUUAGGUUGAAAACUGAGGGGAUGAGUUGUGGGUAGGGGUGAAAGGCCAAUCAAACUCCGUGAUAGCUGGUUCUCCCCGAAAUGCAUUUAGGUGCAGCGUUGUAGUAACUUGCCGGAGGUAGAGCUACUGGUUGGUUGAGCGGGACUAUCAUCUUAGCAAUGUCAGCCAAACUCCGAAUGCCGGUUUAAGUGUUCUAUGGCAGUGAGACUGUGGGGGAUAAGCUUCAUAGUCGAGAGGGAAACAGCCCAGAUCGCCGGUUAAGGCCCCUAAGGGUGUACUAAGUGGAAAAGGAUGUGGGAUCGCGAAGACAGCCAGGAGGUUGGCUUAGAAGCAGCCAUCCUUGAAAGAGUGCGUAAUAGCUCACUGGUCGAGUGGUUCUGCGCCGACAAUUCAGUGGGGCUCAAGUACACCGCCGAAGCCGCGGCACACUAUUUUUGUGUGGGUAGGGGAGCGUCGUGUAUGGGGUGAAGCAAUACUGUAAGGGGUUGUGGACUGUACACGAGUGAGAAUGCAGGCAUGAGUAACGAGUGAUAAGUGAGAAUCUUAUCCGCCGGAUGACUAAGGGUUCCUGGGUCAAGUUCGUCUUCCCAGGGUGAGUCGGGUCCUAAGGCGAGGCCGACAGGCGUAGUCGAUGGUUAACGGGUUGAUAUUCCCGUACCCGUGUAUA